UAAUUGGUAUUAAUUAUCAGG
ensembl:piRNA 21ur-3678 ncRNA